rnacentral:rRNA from 1 species
UCGGAAUCUACUCUGUCGUGGGGGAGUAACGUAGGGAAACUUAACGCUAAUACCGCAUACGACCUACGGUGGAAGCAGGGGAUCUUCGGACCUUGCGCGAUUGAAUGAGCCGAUGUCGGAUUAGCUAGUUGGCGGGGUAAAGGCCCACCAAGGCGACGAUCCGUAGCUGGUCUGAGAGGAUGAUCAGCCACACUGGAACUGAGACACGGUCCAGACUCCUACGGGAGGCAGCAGCU